AGAUUGAACGCUGGCGGCAUGCCUUACACAUGCAAGUCGAACGGUAGAGUAGCAAUACUUGAGAGUGGCGAACGGGUGAGUAAUAUAUCGGAACGUGCCCAGUCGUGGGGGGAUAACGUAGAGAAAUUUACGCUAAUACCGCAUACGAUCUAAGGAUGAAAGCGGGGGACCGUAAGGCCUCGCGCGAUUGGAGCGGCUGAUAUCAGAUUAGGUUGUUGGUGAGGUAAAAGCUCACCAAGCCGACGAUCUGUAGCUGGUUUGAGAGAACGACCAGCCACACUGGGACUGAGACACGGCCCAGACUCCUACGGGAGGCAGCAGUGGGGAAUUUGGACAAUGGGCGAAAGCCUGAUCCAGCAAUGCCGCGUGCAGGAAGAAGGCCUUCGGGUUAGUAACGUGUCUUUUUGUAACGGAACGGAAACGGUCGU
rnacentral:rRNA from 1 species